GGGGAUGUAACUCAGUUGUACAGUGCAUGUCUAGUAUGCGUGAGGCCGUGGGCUCAAUCCCUAGCAGCCCCC
rnacentral:tRNA from 1 species